GCUGGGCGUGGUGGUGCAUACCUGUAAUCCCAGCUACUCGGAGGCCGAGGCAGGAGAAUCGCUCAAACCACAGAAUCGGAGGUUGCAGUGAGCCGAGAUCCCACCACUGCACUCCAGCCUGGCGACAGAGCAAGACUCUGUCUCAAAAAAAAAGAAGAAGAAGGGGCACUUCUGUGGUCUCCAGGGAGUCAGGAUAGACUCUUUUUUUUUUAAGAUGGAGUUUUGCCCAGGCUGGAGUGCAAUGGCAUGAUCUUGGCUCACUGCAACCUCCGCCUCCCGGGUUCAAGCGAUUUUCCUGCCUCAG
rnacentral:sRNA from 1 species